CACUAUCAUAUGAAAUAUGGAGUGUUUGUUGCAUGGUGGAUGACUUUGAAUGUGAUAAACAAUUAUGUUGUACGUUAGUGAGAUGAAAUAGUUAUUAAUUUAUGUUAAAUAUUCGUUAAAAUGAACAUUAUAACACAGAGUUUUAAACGUUUAACUGAAACUUUUAUUGGACAAUCUGUAAAAGGAAAUUCUCUAUUUACGUUAUCUAAAUGUAAUUAUACAAAUUAUACUGCAGGAGGAGGUAUAGUGGCAGUAGCUAGAAACUGUUUAUCAAAUACAAUCCAAGGU